CACCAGCCUAAGAUCUCCUAGAGCUGCAGUAGCCAACUGUUAUGAGUUGCUUGACGUGGGUACGCAGGUGCUGCACACUGAACUCUGAGUUGCUUGACGUGGGUACGCAGGUGCUGCACACUGAACUAUGAGUUGCUUGACGUGGGUACGCAGGUGCUGCACACUGAACUAUGAGUUGUUUGACGUGGGUACGCAGGUGCUGCACACUGAACUAUGAGUUGUUUGACGUGGGUACGCAGGUGCUGCACACUGAACUAUGAGUUGUUUGACGUGGGUACGCAGGUGCUGCACACUGAACUAUGAGUUGCUUGACGUGGGUACGCAGGUGCUGCACACUGAACUAUGAGUUGCUUGACGUGGGUACGCAGGUGCUGCACACUGAACUAUGAGUUGUUUGACGUGGGUACGCAGGUGCUGCACACUGAACUAUGAGUUGUUUGACGUGGGUACGCAGGUGCUGCACACUGAACUAUGAGUUGUUUGACGUGGGUACGCAGGUGCUGCACACUGAACUAUGAGUUGUUUGACGUGGGUACGCAGGUGCUGCACACUGAACUAUGAGUUGCUUGACGUGGGUACGCAGGUGCUGCACACUGAACUAUGAGUUGCUUGACGUGGGUACGCAGGUGCUGCACACUGAACUAUGAGUUGUUUGACGUGGGUACGCAGGUGCUGCACACUGAACUCAUGUCCUAUGGA